rnacentral:snRNA from 1 species
CUUUUUCCGUACCGCAAAACGCA